CGAAUUAUUACCAAAAUUAUUUUUACUACAAGGCAAUGAAUACUUGGGGUAAAAUUAAUGUACUCAUUCAUAUCAAUAUAUUUUUUUAUUUUAUUUUCAGGUUUGCAGGACCAGCAUAGGGAAUAUUUCAACCAGCAGAGACUGUAGAGGAGCCCUUUUUCCACCAGCGGUCAGCGAAGCCAGUGGAGACAACGGAGUCGUAGAAGACAGCGAAGUCAUCGGAGACAGUGAAUUCAACUUUUCAGGCAGGUGCAGUGAGGGUCAGCAAAGCCAGCGCAGAGAAUAUUUCAGCCAGCGGAGACUGCGGAGAGGCCUUUUCUCUACCAGCGGAGUCUGCGGAGGAGACUCUUUCCCACCAGCAGGGACUACCAGCG